rnacentral:rRNA from 1 species
AUUGAACGCUGGCGGCAGGCCUAACACAUGCAAGUCGAACGAGCGGCGGACGGGUGAGUAAUGUAUGGGGAACUGCCCGAUGGAGGGGGAUAACUACUGGAAACGGUGGCUAAUACCGCAUACUAUCGGAUGUACCCAUAUGGGAUUAGCUAGUAGGUGGGGUAAAGGCUCACCUAGGCGACGAUCCCUAGCUGGUCUGAGAGGAUGAUCAGCCACACUGGAACUGAGACACGGUCCAGACUCCUACGGGAGGCAGCAGUGGGGAAUAUUGGACAAUGGGCGAAAGCCUGAUCCAGCCAUGCCGCGUGUGUGAAGAAGGUCUUCGGGUUGUAAAGUACUUUAAGUUGGGAGGCGUUACCCACAGAAUAAGCACCGGCUAACUUCGUGCCAGCAGCCGCGGUAAUAC